AAGUCGUAACAAGGUUUCCGUAGGUGAACCUGCGGAAGGAUCAUUAAAAAUAUCAAUCCGGUUUUGACAUCAACGCGCCCGGUUUACGGUUGCCUAGUGGGGCUGUUUUAUAUUCACAGCAAUACCAGUUGAUACUUCACGCCCUCACGGGGGCCUUGUGGGGCUGUCUUAAACUCACAGCAUUACCAGUGAUUCAUGUCGAACUUAAGCCUGGGCCUUCGGCCCCAGGGCCGGUUGAGAACCCACCCGUGUCUGUAUACUCUUGUUGCUUUGGCAGGCCGUGGCCUCCACUGUGGGCUCUGCCUGCAUGUGCCUGCCAGAGGAUCAAACUCUGAAUUUUAGUGAUGUCUGAGUACUAUAUAUAGUUAAAAC
rnacentral:misc_RNA from 1 species